GGCCCAUCUUAUCGCGCCGGCCCAGCCUUCGCCCGCCGCGCGCCGCCCAUUGAUCGCGCGGGCUGGGGCCGGGGGUCAGCGCGGACGCUCGGCCUGACAGCCACAUCCAUCGCGCUGACGGCCGCACGCGCGCCUCGCCCGGCCAUUAAUCACCGUGCGGCGCAGACUGACGGGGAGGGCGACAGGGCCAGCGGGCGCCUGCCAGCCCUGCCAGCCCGCAUUUCCCACUGCCGGGCCCUGCCGCAGGUCAUCCGCAUCAUCCCCAGGUCACUUGCAACCUGGGAUGGGAGAACAGUGUGUAUCUCUCAGGGUCCCAAAGGAGAGCUGACUUGUCUGGCAGGCUGAGACUAGGCCAUACCGUAGCUCCUUUCUAGAAGCUGGCGGGGCCAUUUCUGGAAACCAGGGAACAACCAGGAAUACACCCAAACACAGAGGGCUGGACCUAAGCUUGCGCCUGUUUCAAACUGUGACCUCCGCUAGCAACAAGAGCCAAGAACUAGGCGUUCUUCUCUGAACCCUGGUCACAUAGUGCCUGUGGCCUCAGAGUCUCACACCGGCUUGGCAGGGCCUUUUCAGACGCGGCCAGCUGUUCAACCAGGGCUGACUCAGGGUCAGAGAGGUAGAAGUCUGCAGGGUGUAACUCCCACCCUCUGCCUGCAACUCCAUUUUCUUAGCUAAGGCUUGUUGACCCAUCACUUUUUGGUGUGAGAAAGCAAGUUCUGUUCUUUCUUAAAACCCAGAUAUUCUCUGAAUCAACCUAGGGUUGAAGGCAACCUGAAGAGGUGAGGUGUCUGCAAAGCUGAGGACAAGGAUUCGCCUGGAGGCCACUUGGGAACCUGCACUGCAAUUGGAAUGAGGGGCAGAAGCUUCUACUCUGCCACCAAGCAGCUCAAGGGGCGGCUUCCAAGAGCCUGGUCCAGAGCUGGGGUAGUGGCCACCUCCUGUGACCAGCCCCCAUCCUGCCCGACUUUAAUAUUACAACAAUUUUUCAAGCUGGAGCUGAACUAGUGGGAAAAAUGGGGCUGCUGUAAUUGUUGUUAGAUUGUGUGUCAGCCUGAUAAGAUGUAACAAAUACUUUCUCCCCACCAGGGUCUGCUGCCCGCCUGGGAAUGGAUGGAGAAACUUCUCACGGUCUGCGAGGGAUGGGCCAUAAAAACUUCGCCUGUAAGAUUAAUGUAAUAAUCACAGGCCUUGCUGGAGAAAAGAGAGGAAAAUUAAAAUAACCAAACCUUGCCACCUAGCCAGACCAUCUCCCUAUCAGAGAAUGCCCCCCCCCCCCCAGGCACUGUCACAGCCCAGAUGAGGGAAAAGUAGCAGGACCCAGGGGCUAUGACCAGGAAAAACAAGUCCUCACUGAAAGCUCUGGGGAGCAGGUGCCGAGGGCUGUACAAGAAUAACCCCGAACCCACCACUACUGCCAGUGUUUCUAUCCUGAUCAGGUGCUGUGAAGGUUUCAACUCAGCCGUCACCUGCCUCAGUCUACCCUGCAGCCCCACCUGCUCAAGGUCAGCUCCUCAACUACUGCUGGGUAUGGAAGUCCAGACAUACAGUUCCCAGCGCAGGCUCUAGCAAAGCUGAACUCAAAUCUAACUUCUACCUCCUGCUGGCUGGGCAGGCAAUUUGGCCUCAUGAGGACAAGAUGAUGUCACAUCGAGAAUGGUGACACUUACAUUUCAGUACUCAGAAAGCAGAGGCAGGAGGAUUGCCUCAAACUCAAAACCAGCCUGGUUUACAUUGCAAGACUAUGUCAAGACACAUCGUACCCAGUGUGCAGACUACCUCCCAUGAGUCUACACUGAUGGUUACUAAGCAGGAACAAGAGCAACAUACUCAAGGGUCACAGGCGGGCUCCGCGUCUGAAGAACUCCCUCCUGUCUUCUCCAGUCACCACCUCUGAGCCCUGACAGAGCAGCCUGAGAACACAGCACAUGCACUGACCCCCGGGCUGCUGCCACCAGAUACCUGGAAUACACCCAGGCUCAUCAAGAGUAGAUGGACCAGACCCACAGGGAGCAGAGGUUCUAACCCAUCCGAGAAUGUCCACUCAGAAUGACCCAUCUUUCAGAGUCACAAGGACACAGUGACUUUCUCAGACUGCCAAGCCCUUGUCAACAGCCAGGAGAGGAAGCCUGCCAACCUGCCAGGCCUGUGCCAGCUGCCUGAUGGGACAGACACAUGCUGGGCAGACACUUGUGCCCUACAGGCUAGCCCAGCUGCAGCCAUGGGAGCUUAGUAGCUGUGGGCCUUGCAUCAGGCCACCCUAACACAGGUGGCCAUCAGGCUCCCUAACAUCUUGAGCCUAUCACAACUGCAAAAGAUACCACAGAUGAUUAAAAUAAGAAAGAAUAAGGCAUGCGACUUUAAUUGUUAAUAUCAAAACAUGUCAUUUUAGGGCUGGCAACACAGAUCAGCAGGCAAAGGUUCUUGCUUACCAAGCCCAGUAGUCUGAGUUUAGUUCCCAGAACCUACAUGGUGCAGAGAGAACCUCCACAAGUGUGAGGUGCUAAGGGAGUGUGAGAAUGUGCACACAGACACACAAAAAAGAAAGGAAGAAGAAAAAGGGAUGGGAGCAAGAAAGAAAAAAACAUUCAAACAUCUAUUUUGAAAUCUUUCCUAUGUAGUUUAAUAUAAGUAUAUAUUUAUUUUAAAAGUAAAUAGAAGUAAGAUGUACAGCACACAGGAUAAACUUGAAACCUACUAAGGAAAACAAGCCAGACACCAAAGGACAACGGGUGACAGACUGCACGCCAGGAAACUAAGUGGCCACGUCCACAGAAGGAAGUCAGAGGCUACUGCGGUCGUCUACUGCGGUCUACUGCAGUCUGAACAGGAAGAUGGGACUGGAUGCGUAAAGGCUACAAGGGUCCUGCUUUUUGGGUGAGGAAAAGGUUCUGGUGGAAACAAGAUGGUGGACAGUUGAGUGGUUAAGGACACUGGUUGCUUUUAAAGAGGACCUGUUGUUUGGUUCCCAGCACCCA